rnacentral:rRNA from 1 species
CAGUCGCCGCGGUAAUACGGAGGGGGCUAGCGUUGUUCGGAAUUACUGGGCGUAAAGCGCACGUAGGCGGCUUUGUAAGUUAGAGGUGAAAGCCUGGGGCUCAACUCCAGAAUUGCCUUUAAGACUGCAUCGCUUGAACGUCGGAGAGGUGAGUGGAAUUCCGAGUGUAGAGGUGAAAUUCGUAGAUAUUCGCAAGAGCACCAGUGGCGAAGGCGGCCAACUGGUCCAUUACUGACGCUGAGGUGCGAAAGCGUGGGGAGCAAACAGGAUUAGAUACCCGUGUAGUCCCUGUCUCUUAUAC